AUGGAAAUCAAGCCAAGGGAAUCCCGUGAGUCUGGGUCCUGGCCGGAAGCGCCGGAUGUGUUGCUGCAGUUGUUGGUCUGUGGGUGUUGUGUGUUUAUGGGCCGCGCUGACAGUGAGGACCUGACUGCUGCACAAAUCUUCUAUCCUUGCAUGCAAUGUACUGAUAUGUUUUUCCUGAAGGCGGACAUAUGCCAGUUGGGCAUGGAGCAAAGAAAGGUAAACAUGUUAGUGAGGGAAUACUGCGUUGACAUCAAAAGGAAGAACAAACCAAUUAUUCUCUCACAUUGUAUCCUGAUCUGCCCUGCUACAAUAUGUCUUUUUCUAUAUUGUGUUUUUCUUCUUACUAUCGCUGAUAUAUGUGUCUCAUUGAUUAUGGUAUUAGACUUCCAAGAUAGUGGUUCAUUGCCAGUCUGUACAAAAACACAAAAUAGUGGCUCAUGUGAGGUGUAUCUGAGACUAAGGGUUAAUUUAAUUCUCAAGUUAUAUGCAUGA
rnacentral:rRNA from 1 species